UAAUGUCAACAACAUCUGCAGGUGGGGGAGCACUUCACCAGGGAGGUAGAAUCCAUUGGUUCUUUCAGUUCUCUGCGGUAGAUAAUAAAGAUCCUUUAGCUCUAAUCAGAAACAGCAGGGUGGAACCCCAGUGCCAAUAUUCCUUGAGAUUACAUUUUUUUUCUCUCCUUUGGCCCCAGGGUUGCAAUAUAAAUAAGAUUUGGAAUGUCAUUUAGCUAACCUUGAUGAAAUAUGUUUAAAAUCAAAAACUGUACAUAAAUCAGACUCCGUAAGGACAAAUUUGGUCGGAGCAAAGAGUUUCAUCUUAUUGGGCUUUUGUCACUGAUGUUGCAGCUCCUCUCCCACUCCUUCAUUACAUACUGCGGAGAAAAUCUAUCGCUGCACUUCAUUUUUCAAUUGUGUGCAUGUGCUGGAGACACAGAGAAUAUUUUGCCGGCACCAGACACGUUUCUCCAGUGCUCAAAGGAACACAGCACCUAAGGUUUCAGAAAAGAGUUGUGGGGGUUCAGGGUGAGAGAAUUUAUAAUAUGCAUAAUUUCUGUGCCAUGGCCUACUACCUUUAAUACAGGAGGGAAGACGGUCCAGAAUUCAUUUUCUAAUGACACGAAAUACUGCAGAUGCUGAAAUCUUGAGCCAAAACCACACCGCUGGAGGAACUCAUCAGAUCUUUGGUACCAAAUCCAGUUACACUUUUCACUACAAAGUGAAUGAUUGGAUCUUCACUAAGGUACGAAAAUCUUUAUGGAUACUUAUCUUUUCCCUUCCUUAAUGGGGGCUAGGGAAAGACUAUGAAGGAUAGAAGCUUUCAACCACAAGAAUGAUAUUCGAACAUCCAAUGUUGGACCAUGCUGAUGAAAUCCUGGUCCCAUUGACUUCCUUGCCUGGGAAUAAGAAGUUUGUAAAGGGCCUGAUCCACUGCGGGGACCUAAUUUGUUGGUUUAGAAGAGUUUUGGAGAGUUUAUAAUAGUGUCAUGGUCGUGAUCUAUUUUUUCCAUGCCAACCUUUUUUUACUUGCGGACAAUUUUCAGCAUGUUUAAAAAAAACGCCUCGACCAAACUGAGGCCUCGAGUAUGCGGGGACUACUCUUGAGCAUGAAGGAGAGUUACAUAGACCUCCUAGGACCACACGUCGACCAUGCUGCGAGUAUGAGUCGAGGGCAAACUCUUCUAAACUCAUAAAUUAGGUCCCCGCAGUGGGACAGACCCUUAAGUGUGAUUCUAAAAUUUGCGUAAGUAAUGUAAACUAAUAUCUUUACGAGGAGGUACUAGCCUGUUAGAUAUGCUGUUGUUUUUGAAUAAGAGAGUUAAUCAAGAUCCUAUCUGUCUAUCAUAGGUGUAAUACAAUCCAAUUUGUACAUGGAUAUGAGUGGCAGAGUUAUUCCAGCACCUUGCCAUUUAUUUGUCUCCGCUAAUUCGUCUUUUUGGGUUCAUUUCUCAUUUUUCUGUGCAUGGGACAAAGUGUUUGCAAUUUGGCUGCUAUGUUUCUCUGCCCUAAAAGUGGUGGCAUUUAAAAAAAAACUUUAGAGACUGAAAUAUUUUAAAUGUCCUGGAACAUGAAAGGUGCCACUGAAACUUAAGUUCCUGCCUUUUAAUUGAGGGUUGAAUGUGGCUCAUUAGACUGCCAAGAAAGAUGGAUGCAAACCACUUAACUACCACUUUGAAAAAUUAAACUGCAGAUAAUUUACCUUUUGCAGUCACUCCCAGCUGGAGAUAUUUAUCAUAGGAACCUUUGGUACAAUUACACUCGGGAGAGAGUUUUCUAUUUCUUCUCAUAAUCCCAACUAUUGCUCUAUUUUUCUUCCUUUUUUUAGGUCAUCCACAAUUCUCAAAUGUGAACUCGGUAGCCAAGAGCAAUAUUGUUCUCCAUGUGGCCUGAGGAUAUACACAAGAAUGACUCAGAUGGAAGUGUCCCUGUGAAAGGUUUUCUAUUUUAAAUAAAAGUAAUUCUGCAGCUUUGCACAUGGAUAGUCAUGUCUAAUCAUUCAAGUGUCCCCAUGAAAUUCCUGGCAGGAAAAAAAGCCCCACUUGAUAUGAUCACAUGACCACAUAUCACAUAGACACUGACCUAUGUUGAAGGUUAUAUUUGAAAUAUUUCUCUAGUUCAAUAAUGUCUGAAGAGCUCCAGAAACACACAUAAAAAAGUAAUUUUGUGAUAAAAUCAUCAUUGAUGGUUAAGUUCUGGUGGUUCUUGAGAUCAUAGGGAUAGCACUUUGUCCAUGAUGUCCAGGUAUUAAGUAAGAAGUUCCAAGGUCUUUCUCUGGACAAGGACAAGGACAAAAAUAUUUCUAAGUCAUUCUGAAAUCUUAGAGGAGAAACAUUCUUAUGUAUCUGCUUCUCUUGUCCUAGAUGUGUUUGGAAGGUUCCUAUGGUACACACUGCUGCCAAUCUGAACUGAUGGUAGAGGGGGUGCAUUUUUAACUAGAGGAUUUGUUGUCAAACCAUUUUCUUCAUGCUGAUUGUCAGUCAGUAUUCAUUGCACGAAACAGUCUGUCCAACAGGUCUUAAAUCCUUCUUCCAUUGGGUGAUGAAUACAGCAUCAUCAGCAUACAGGCGUUCCCUUAUAAGCACAGUUCUUACCUUCAUCUUGGCAUUCAAUCUUGCUAUUUUGCCUUUCCUUUGAGCUUUCAAAGAGCUUCCCUUUGCCUCUAGUAUGAAGAAACACUCCUUCCCUGUCUAUCAGGAAAGCAAAGGAAAGAAGUGCAUGAAGAUGAUGCUGAACAGAGUGGGAUCUAGGACUUAGCCUUGCCUCACUCCACUUCUCAUGGGAAAACUAUCCAAUGUAGUACCAUCAAAUUGCACUGUACCAAUCAUAUACCCAUGGAAGGAAUGAAUGAGGUUUAGAAGAUGAGGUGGACAUCCAAUCUUCUCCAGUAGAGGCCGUUCUCCUGAGAAUCAAAGGCUUUCGUAAGAUUCAUAAAGAUUCACAUAUGGUCAAGGUUAACACUUUGACAAAUGCAGUAAUGACUUGCCUGAAUGAGCCCAAGAAUGGAUAUUGUUCAGACUUUGCAAGAUCUGACAGUAUUUGAACCUGAAAAUUGAGUGAAGUUUGUCACUCCUCAUUGAUAUUAAACACACACAAGAGUAUCGGAAGCUGUGUGCAUUCACCUCCACACCGGUGGAACUGAGUGUGUGGUGGGCAGGAUGCCAAAUAAACUUUUUUCCAGUAUGUUAGGCCAACCACAUAACAGCAGGUUAUUUUUUAAUGAAUAAAAUAUAGAUUCCUGCAAUGCUAUCAACCUCUCUGGCCUAAAAGUGGAAACAUUUAAACGGUGGUGUUGCAUUUACAGAAAAUACAAAGUGCUUAGAUAAAUUAAAAUUACAUAGUACAUUUCUCUUUUUGUACUUGAUUUAGCACCAACGACACCCCUUUGAUCUUCCGUCAUCCUUGGUCUCCCCCCUCAGUCCUUAAAUUACAUUAGGUAGAGAAAUGAAGCAACAAACCCAUCUUUCAGAAAGGUCCAAAAUCCCUGUAGUCUGCAUUGAAUUUAUACCAACCUGUGGGGGAAAGGCUGAGGAUUUGGGGAAAAGGCCUUGCUUCCAAAUUGAUUUAUUCCAAUGAGUUUUGAUCAAAUGUAUGAAUGUUUUCUCCAUGACUU